CACGUAGGGCGCGAGCGUUGUCCGGAAUUAUUGGGCGUAAAGAGCUCGUAGGCGGCCUGUUGCGUCCGCUGUGAAAGCCCGGGGCUUAACCCCGGGUCGCAGUGGAUACGGGCAGGCUAGAGGUAGGUAGGGGUAGAGGGAAUUCCCGGUGAAGCAGUGAAAUGCACAGAGAUCGGGAAGAACACCAGUGGCGAAGGCGCUCUACUAGGCCGUGACUGACACUGAGAGACGAUAGCUAGGGGAGCGAAUAGG
rnacentral:rRNA from 1 species